UACGUAGGUGGCAAGCGUUAUCCGGAAUUACUGGGCGUAAAGCGCACGCAGGCGGCGCGUUAAGUCUGACGUGAAAGAACCCGGCUUAACUGGGGGAGGUCGUUGGAGACUGGCGGGCUUGAGGCAAUGAGAGGGGUGCGGAAUUCCCGGUGUAGUGGUGGAAUGCGUAGAGAUCGGGAGGAACACCUGUGGCGAAAGCGGCACCCUGGCAUUGGCCUGACGCUCAUGUGCGAAAGCGUGGGGAGCGAACGGG
rnacentral:rRNA from 1 species